UUCGGCAACAGGAUGAGAGGCUGUGGCAGCAGGAGACUCUGCAGGAGCUGGAGAGGCUGCGGGAGCUGGAGAGGAUGCUGGAGCUGGGGUGGGAAGCCCUGUACGAGCAGCGGGCCGAGCCACGCAGCGGCUUCGAGGAGCUGAACAACGAGAACAAGAGCACACUGCAGUUGGAGCAGCAAGUAAAGGAGCUGAAGAAGUCGGGUGGAGCUGAAGAGCCAAGAGGCUCCGAGUCUGCAGCAGCAGCCAGACCAGUAGCUGGAGCCCCAGUCCCACAAGGAGCUUGGAUGUGCGGACAAGCAGGGUGGACUCCCCAGGAGCACCCAGGCUUGGGUGGAGAAGCUGUUGGUACAGGAGAGGCGGCAGGAGGAGCAGGAGAGGCUGCAUGCCAUUCUUUUCGGGCUGCCGAGAACAGGGAGCUAAACAUCACCAUCAUCUAAGAGCGGGUC
rnacentral:lncRNA from 1 species